UACGUAGGUGGCAAGCGUUGUCCGGAUUUACUGGGCGUAAAGAGCGCGCAGGCGGUCGUUCAAGUCGCGUGUGAAAGCCCCCGGCUCAACUGGGGAGGGUCACGCGAUACUGAUCGACUCGAAGGCAGGAGAGGGUAGUGGAAUUCCUGGUGUAGCGGUGAAAUGCGCAGAUAUCAGGAGGAACACCGAUGGCGAAGGCAGUGUUCUGGGCCAGUACUGACGCUGAGGAGCGAAAGCGUGGGGAGCAAACAGG
rnacentral:rRNA from 1 species